GAUGAACGCUGGCGGCGUGCCUAACACAUGCAAGUCGAGCGGACCAAUGCUCAUUUCAGCUUUGCCGAUUUGAGCAACGGUUAGCGGCGGACGGGUGAGUAACGCGUGGGCAACCUGCCCUGUGCAGGGGGAUAACACAGCGAAAGCUGUGCUAAUACCACAUAAGACUACGCUAUCGCAUGAUAGAGUAGUCAAAGCUUUAGCGGCACAGGAUGGGCCCGCGUCUGAUUAGCUAGUUGGUGGGGUAACGGCCUACCAAGGCGACGAUCAGUAGCCGACCUGAGAGGGUGAUCGGCCACACUGGAACUGAGACACGGUCCAGACUCCUACGGGAGGCAGCAGUGGGGAAUAUUGCACAAUGGGGGAAACCCUGAUGCAGCAACGCCGCGUGAGCGAAGAAGGCCUUCGGGUCGUAAAGCUCUGUCCUAAGGGAAGAAGUAUGACGGUACCUUAGGAGGAAGCCCCGGCUAACUACGUGCCAGCAGCCGCGGUAAUACGUAGGGGGCGAGCGUUAUCCGGAAUCACUGGGCGUAAAGGGUGCGUAGGCGGCCGAGUAAGCCAGAGGUGAAAGGCUACGGCUUAACCGUAGUAAGCCUUUGGAACUACUUGGCUUGAGUGCAGGAGAGGAGAGUGGAAUUCCUAGUGUAGCGGUGAAAUGCGUAGAUAUUA
rnacentral:rRNA from 1 species